GUACGGCCCGCAAGGUUGAAACUCAAAAGGAAUUGACGGGGGCCCGCACAAGCGGUGGAGCGUGUGGUUUAAUUCGAUGCUAAGCGAAGAACCUUACCAGGGCUUGACAUGCUGGUAGUAGGAACCUGAAAGGGUAACGAUCCCGGGGUAACUCGGAAGCCUCCACAGGUGCUGCAUGGUUGUCGUCAGCUCGUGCCGUGAGGUGUUGGGUUAAGUCCCGCAACGAGCGCAACCCUUGUCGCUAGUUAUCUUCUCUAGCGAGACAGCCUCCCACAAGGAGGAGGAAGGUGGGGAUGACGUCAAAUCAUCAUGGCCCUUAUGCCCUGGGCUACACACACGCUACAAUGGCCGGUACAAUGGGCUGCUAAAGCGCGAGCUGGAGCCAAUCCCACAAAAGCCGGCCCCAGUUGGGAUUGCAGGCUGCAACCCGCCUGCAUGAACGCGGAAUCGCUAGUAACCGCAGGUCAGCAUACUGCGGUGAAUACGUUCCCGGGCCUUGUACACACCGCCCGUCACGUCAUGGAAGCCGAGAACGAUUGAAGUCGCUGAGCUAACCCUUCGGGGGGGCAGCUGUCUAAGGUGGGGCAGGCGACUGGGGCU
rnacentral:rRNA from 1 species